CGCGGCUUCACCUCAUCCGGCUUUCUGGUCCUGCUCUACUUCAAAGCAGCAGAACCAGAGAGCCUCCACUGGGAAACUCCUUUUUGAGCCAAGGUGCAGCAGAGCAGAUAAACCCUGUUUGAUGGAAAGAGGCGCUUUUUUCCCAGGAGCCUCUUUAGAACGUUUACUCAGAUGUGGAACCCGCACAAGAAUGAACACUGGAACAUGGAAGCACAAGGAUAUCCAUACACAGGGAAAUAGGAAACACCUGGGGAAGGUAACGAGGAGGCAGAGUUACAAAUGAACAGGUGGAAACACUGAGAUGAAGACAUAAGAGGAAACAGUACAGAAACAAAACAGAAACACAGAAAACAGACCAGAAAGC
rnacentral:lncRNA from 1 species